rnacentral:rRNA from 1 species
GACGAACCGUGCGACCGUUGUUCGGAAUCACUGGGCUUAAAGGGCGCGUAGGCGGGUCACCAAGUCCGGGGUGAAAUCUUUCGGCUUAACCGGAAAAUAGCCUUGGAUACUGGUAAUCUCGAGGGAGGUAGGGGUCUGUGGAACUUCUGGUGGAGCGGUGAAAUGCGUUGAUAUCAGAAGGAACGCCGGUGGCGAAAGCGACGGACUGGACCUCCACUGACGCUGAGGCGCGAAAGCUAGGGGAGCAAACGGG